UACGGGGGGAGCAAGCGUUGUUCGGAUUUACUGGGCGUAAAGGCGCGUAGGCGGUCAGCACAAGUCAGUUGUGAAAUCUCCGGGCUUAACUCGGAAAGGUCAACUGAUACUGUGCGACUAGAGUGCGGAAGGGGCAACUGGAAUUCUCGGUGUAGCGGUGAAAUGCGUAGAUAUCGAGAGGAACACCUGCGGCGAAGGCGGGUUGCUGGGCCGACACUGACGCUGAUGCGCGAAAGCCAGGGAGGCGAACGGG
rnacentral:rRNA from 1 species